AAACACACCCUAAUACUCUCAAACCCUAUCCGCCACGAUUCAUCAUCUCCUUUCUCCAUCUCCAAACCCUUCCAUGGUUGCCCUUCCUAUCUUCUUCCCCGUUACCCUCACGACCAGCUGAACCUCGUCAUCAAACAACCAACACUAGGGCGGCAACAAUUCGAAUCUCCACCUUCACGACCUCUACUGUUGCUGUCCCCAUCAUGAAGCAGCCUCCACGGCUGUCAUUUGUUCAACAACAGUCAUGGUCACCUGAGCAACCCGCUUGCUUCACCUCACGUCCAAGCACACUAACCAAACAACCCC
rnacentral:lncRNA from 1 species